AGUGAACGCUGGCGGCAGGCCUAAUACAUGCAAGUCGAACGGCAGCACAGCAGAGCUUGCUCUGUGGGUGGCGAGUGGCGGACGGGUGAGGAAUACAUGGGAAUCUGCCCAGUCGUGGGGGAUAACGUAGGGAAACUUACGCUAAUACCGCAUGCGCCCUUCGGGGGAAAGCCGGGGACCUUCGGGCCUGGCGCGAUUGGAUGAGCCCAUGUCGGAUUAGCUAGUUGGCGGGGUAAUGGCCCACCAAGGCGACGAUCCGUAGCUGGUCUGAGAGGAUGAUCAGCCACACUGGAACUGAGACACGGUCCAGACUCCUACGGGAGGCAGCAGUAGGGAAUAUUGGACAAUGGGCGCAAGCCUGAUCCAGCCAUGCCGCGUGAGUGAAGAAGGCCCUCGGGUUGUAAAGCUCUUUUGUCCGGAAAGAAAAGCGCCGGGUUAAUACCCUAGUGUCCUGACGGUACCGGAAGAAUAAGCACCGGCUAACUUCGU
rnacentral:rRNA from 1 species